CUUAAUAUUGUAGAUCAAUGAUCCUUGAAAUAUAGUUCUUAGUAUUCUUAUACAACACACAUCACAUGUUAUUGUCAUCCUUAUUGACAAUACCAAUCGACUAUAAAACCAAUGUCAUGAUACAAAAGAAAUCCAAUCAACAUUAAAUUUUAAAGAUUUGAGAAAAAAAUCAAAUUUUUAUUUUUUUCUUCAGAGCUCUUUGUUUUUUAUUUUAGAUGAAUUAGAUGAUUUGGGGAACAAAAUAUGGAAGAAGGUUGGUGGAAGGAACACCAUGAUCUUGUACCCCUUAGAAAAAUCACAUCUUCAUCAUCCAUUGUUGAACUCAAUUCUCAAAUUUCUCAACUUCUUCUCAAACCAUAAAUCCCAUUUCUCCAACCCUUUCUUUGAUUUUUUCCAUUUGGGUUGCAUUAGAAGGUCUUAGAGAAGACAAAUGUGGAGACACUCUUNNN
rnacentral:lncRNA from 1 species